rnacentral:tRNA from 1 species
CCCCAAGUGGCGGAAUCGGUAGACGCAGUGGACUUAAAAUCCACCGGGCUUUAUCUCCCAUGCCAGUUCAAGUCUGGCCUUGGGGACCA